GGUCUGUGAUGAGCCUUGGCAUGUAUUAUCUGACUAUAAAUUGAAGAUUAUCAUUUUAGCUCUGUAAUUACUCUGAGACCUG
rnacentral:snoRNA from 1 species